ACAGAGGACAGUGGAGUGUGAGC
rnacentral:miRNA from 1 species